UACGUAGGGUGCGAGCGUUAAUCGGAAUUACUGGGCGUAAAGCGUGCGUAGGCGGUUCGUUAUGUCUGCUGUGAAAUCCCCGGGCUCAACCUGGGAAUGGCAGUGGAAACUGGCGGGCUUGAGUGUGGCAGAGGGGGGUGGAAUUCCGCGUGUAGCAGUGAAAUGCGUAGAGAUGCGGAGGAACACCGAUGGCGAAGGCAGCCCCCUGGGCUAACACUGACGCUGAGGCGCGAAAGCGUGGGGAGCAAACAGG
rnacentral:rRNA from 1 species